GACGAACCGUGCUAACGUUGUUCGGAUUCACUGGGCUUAAAGGGCGCGUAGGCGGAUCAGCCAGUCUAGGGUGAAAUCUUUCGGCUUAACCGGAAAAGGGCCUUGGAUACUGCUGGUCUGGAGGGAGGUAGGGGCAUGUGGAACUUCCGGUGGAGCGGUGAAAUGCGUAGAUAUCGGAAGGAACGCCGGUGGCGAAAGCGACGUGCUGGACCUCUUCUGACGCUGAGGCGCGAAAGCUAGGGGAGCAAACGGG
rnacentral:rRNA from 1 species